CACCCAUCCAGGCACCAGACAACGCCCGUCGAUGGCGCUCUAGGCUCUCCCGCCGCCACCCUGUCGCCGGCCCCGUCGCUCUCCCACCCUGUCGCCGGCCGCGUCGCUCCCCCGCCCCGUCGCCGGCCCUCCCCGGCCCCGUCGUCAUCCCUCCCCCGCCCUGUCGCCGGCCCUCUCCCGCCCCGUCACCGGCCCUCCCCCUCGUCCACGACCCUCCCCGUCGAGGUCCAGGUCCGUGACGGAUCCGCCUACGCCGGCGUCUUCCACACCGCCUCCCUCGACGCCGGAUACGGUGUGCGCCCCCUCUCCUCCCUCUCUACCGUAGAUUUCCUUUGGUCUGGUUCGGGGUUGGUGUCGGGCCCUGGGAUCACGCGAAUGGCGCUCGGGCCGUGAUCCGGCUGCUGGGUGGAGAUGGUGGAUGCCGCGUGCCUAGUGCCUAGUGACGCGACCUGGUUCAUCUAUGUUUUUUUCCUGGGAUAAUGGGUUGUGAUCUGCUUGUUCAUCGACAGGCCCCGGUCGCCGGGAUGCCGCGUUUUGUUAGUAUUUCUUGCUGGGGCUACAGCCGAGGGAGAUGCAUAGUGGACGGCGGCAGAGCGGGUCGGCAGAAGCGUGGUCGGAGGCGGGGUGGUGGUGUGAUGGCUGGGCGGCGCGUGCAUGUGUUGCCGUGUUGGGGCUGUGGUGGCUUGUGUGUGGUCUCUGCUAGGGAAUGAGAUAUUUAAAGUGAGAUGAUUAAGAGGUCCGGCGCCUUGAGCUCGCACCCGGCCGUCCCGCGCCGCUAGAUCCCUCCGGGUAGCGGCUUCUAGUUGCCUGGCACCGCCCGCUCCUCGACCUCGCGCCCGUUCAGGGGCGCCUCGUGUCGUCGGGUGUUGAGAGCUGCAAGUACCUUAAAUAUGUCACCACAACCCUUCUCUGUUUCAUCCUCAUACUACAUCAUCAUACGCCGCCGUUGACUUUGUGCCGAACCCCCGGUUGGCAGGAAAUGAUUGAACUCGUGAUGCUCUUUCUUCCAGCGAUUUCGUUUGCAGGUCUGCUCUUCGCUCUUACUAUUUACAGUAUUUUUUUGUAUAGCAGUUAGAUAUUGGAGGUAGCUGUGUGCUAUCUAUGGACCAUAUGGUACUGCUCGGAACAACCUGAUUGCGUUGCUCCAAGUGCAAUUGAAAUUCGAACACACCACAUUGCUCGGCUGCAUUUUAUAAUAAACUUUUAUUGGAGGAAUGAGGUACAGUGGUUAUAUGUAUGGUGAUUAAAUCAAGUUUUUUUACCUAUGCUUCCAGCCUGUAGGUGAAUUUGUGUCUAUGCUCCGUGGUGUCGAGCUGUAAAUCUUCCGAUGUUAUUUUGUGCCAUAUGGGCAAACACUAAGUUCUGAGGAAGAGAUGUCAUAUGUGUACCAUAUGGACAAACACUCUACAUUCUAAAGGACGGGCAGAAGGUGCAUCCCCUGGUGAGGAGCUUGAUAGGAAGAGAUCUCAAGCGCGAUCUCAAGCGCACGCACUAUACGAGGCUUCAGGAGGAAGGAUUCUAUGCUGUUCUAUUAUCUCCCCUUCUAGAACAGUUUUAACAUGGUCUCUCUGUAGUUCUUUCUGUAUAUGUACCUUGCAUAGGGUAUAAUUCAUGGUGAUAAUUCCAUUAUAUUUUUAUCAAUACACCACAUCAAUCUUAUAACUAGCUAGAAGAAACAGCCUACCUCAUGCUCCCAUUUGAGUCUUGUGUGCAAGCUCAUAUCAUGAAAUGAUAUAAGCAUUCUAGAUUGAAGGAAGUUGCUGGUCUGAUGUCAUGUUAUACAACUUGUCCUGCUACAUUCCUGAAGUGCUAAAAAAUGGAAAAUAAUGCAUUUCCUUCUAAUUCAUAUUUUUAUUUUUGAUUGUACUACGAAUGUAUAUGAGAUUAUCAUAUAUUUCAUAGAACGAUCACCCUGGUCGCUGUUUUAUUCCUCUGUUUUGUAUCGGACCAUCGUUGGUCGAUCAAUUGGGGCAGACAAUCAUGAUUUUCACCUAUCGUUUUUUAUAACUGCAGAUUGUCUUACUUAACCUGGCAACAAAGAGAGGAGGUUGCAAAUAAGAACGAAGGGGAAUACAUGUCUGCAUUUUUCCUGACUGAGGUAUCAAGGAAAUUAAAUUUUUUGGAGGAAGUGCUUUCUUCAAUAUCAGAUUGCUAUAAAGGAUGAGAUGCUCCACACAUUUUGAGAGUUGAGAGGUUAGUUUCUAGCAGAGUUAGUGACGGAACUGAAAACUGUUUCAGCCGAGGUUGAGGAUAAAUCUUAUGCUACCACAUGUUUAGAGAUUGUGAUAAGAACCAAAAUAUCAAGGUUUAAAAAGUGGAUGCUUCGAGUAUGAUAGAUCCUAUGUUUCUGUGUUAAUCUAUUUCAAAUAUCUUUAAUCAGAGUCAAAGCAUGACAUGUUAUGUCUUGGAUCAUGAGUGAAGUCCAAUGUUGACAUACAUUUAGUGUUUGCUGAUGGUUCUAGGUAGAACUGAAUUAGGCUAAUCAAAGAAGCAGAAUUAAGUCAAUUAGUUUGUUACUUCCUUAAACCUUCUGAAUUGCUUCUUCUUUUCGCACGGUGCCACUGAGUAAGGUAUUGUUGUUGGUGGAGUGUGCACUCUUUUCAAAUUGGCUGCUAAAAGUUGAUGUGUCCAGGAUACCCUGGUUGCAUAAGGUAAAAUAAACGAAUGGCAUUGCCCUAAUACUCGCAGCCAACAUGGUCCACCACAUGUGGGUCACAAACAAUCAUGUUGAACCAUUGAGCAUUUUAAUAUUUCCAUUCAAAUUGAUUGCGAAGAAUGUUGGUGUCAAUGGCAGCAUUGUUACCGAGAAGGUUUGAUCUCAUUUACUAAUAUGAAGUUGAUAUAUUUCUGCAUAGAUCUAAAUAACAUAAAAGAAGAUGUCGUACCAGGUCCUUUCUAGCUGCAAGCAUGCAAUCCUUCUGUUCGGUAGUACGAGGACUUAAUGGCUGCUGGUAUCAUCGACCACAAUAAAGUUUAUAGCCACGUAGCUACCCAACACACUUGCUUGCUUGCCAUUCUGAAAUGGAUACAAUUGCGUAGUUAGGGUGAUGAUGCAACUUGUGGGAUCAUUUAUUCUACCUUUUUUAAUUGGGGCUGCAUUAUAUAUUUUAUAGGUAGAACAACCAUUUUUCUUUUGGGAGAUUUAGUCUUACUAAUUUGGAAUAAAAGUGUCCAGAUCUAAUCUUAUUAUCACCUUGCAUUUUAUCCAAUGUAUAUUUGGGAUGCCCCAUGUCUAUUUACAUCAUUGCUAUCUUUUGCCACUUUAUCCAAUGUAUGAAUUAUCUUAUCUUUGGUCCACUUUGCAAUUUUAAAUGAUGUAUAAUCUGGAAAAAAUGCUCUCCGCUCUGUGGGCUCAAGUGAGCUUAAGCUGAUCGUCCACUUGCAUCUGAUGGUAACAGGGUAAGAUGUAUGCAUAACUUCAAUUCUUCUCUUGCAUCUGCUCGGAACUUACAUAUUGGUUGUGUGUAAAUUCAUAUCAGAAAUCAUUUUGCAUAAAAACAUUGGUUAUCGAGGCCAGACACUGAUUCUUCAUCUGGUUGUUGGAUCACAGUGAUGUCUCACUUUUUAAAAUACAAUUUGAACGACAUGCUAUUUUGUAUCCAGUUUUGGCGGCGGUGGUGCUGCUGCUCCUAUGAUGGUAGACUCGUCUGAUUCCCCUAGCUGCAUCCAUGGUGACGAAGCUCGACCUAGGCUAGAACCCCCUCCAGUGAGCUCCUCAAGUCCUCUUAUACCCCUCCUACUUGCUUGUUGGUUCUAUGCUCUGCCUUUGUGAGGUGUAAUUGUUCAAUUUUGUUCAUAGUCGAGCAUUGGAUGAUAUUGUAUUUGUCAUGAUGUACAUGGUUCAUGAACUAUGCCAACCUUCAUCUUUGUUGUACUAGUCAUAGUAGGAUAAUGCAAGUUUUGACAAUCCAUGCAUAUUUCUGCAUCA